UACGUAGGGUGCAAGCGUUGUCCGGAAUUACUGGGCGUAAAGGGCUCGUAGGCGGCCAACUAAGUCAGACGUGAAAUCCCUCGGCUUAACCGGGGAACUGCAUCUGAUACUGGAUGGCUUGAGUUCGGGAGAGGGAUGCGGAAUUCCAGGUGUAGCGGUGAAAUGCGCAGAUAUCAGGAAGAACACCAAUGGCGAAGGCAGCUCUCUGGGACGGUACUGACGCUGAGACGCGAAAGCGUGGGGAGCGAACAGG
rnacentral:rRNA from 1 species